rnacentral:rRNA from 1 species
AUUGAACGCUGGCGGCAUGCCUUACACAUGCAAGUCGAACGGCAGCACGGGAGCAAUCCUGGUGGCGAGUGGCGAACGGGUGAGUAAUAUAUCGGAACGUGCCCAGUCGUGGGGGAUAACGUAGCGAAAGCUACGCUAAUACCGCAUACGAUCUAUGGAUGAAAGCGGGGGAUCGCAAGACCUCGCGCGAUUGGAGCGGCCGAUAUCAGAUUAGGUAGUUGGUGAGGUAAAGGCUCACCAAGCCGACGAUCUGUAGCUGGCCUGAGAGGACGACCGCCAAGACGGGGACGGAGACCGGGCCAGGACUCCUAGGGGAGGCAGAGGGGGGGAUUUGUGGACAAUGGGCGCAACCCUGAUCAACAAAUGCCGCGGGCAGGAGGAAGGCCUUGGGGUUUUAAACUGCUUUUGACCGGAACGAAAGGGCGAGCUCUAAUACAUUUUGCUAAUGCCGGUACCGUAAGAAAAACCACCGGCAAACUACGUGCCAGCCGCCGCAGUAA